AAAACUUUACGAAAAAGAUAAACCUGCCUAGUGCCAAAAGCACUGCGUUAGGUUUCCUAUUUUCGUUUCGUUUU
rnacentral:ncRNA from 1 species